rnacentral:rRNA from 1 species
AACGCGAAGAACCUUACCAACUCUUGACAUCCCAUUGACCGCUUGAGAGAUCAAGUUUUCCCUUCGGGGACAAUGGUGACAGGUGGUGCAUGGUUGUCGUCAGCUCGUGUCGUGAGAUGUUGGGUUAAGUCCCGCAACGAGCGCAACCCCUAUCCUUAGUUGCCAGCAUUCAGUUGGGCACUCUAGGGAGACUGCCGGUGACAAACCGGAGGAAGGUGGGGAUGACGUCAAAUCAUCAUGCCCCUUAUGAGUUGGGCUACACACGUGCUACAAUGGACGGUACAAAGGGCAGCGAGACCGCGAGGUGGAGCCAAUCCCAUAAAGCCGUUCCCAGUUCGGAUUGCAGGCUGCAACUCGCCUGCAUGAAGUCGGAAUCGCUAGUAAUCGCAGGUCAGCAUACUGCGGUGAAUACGUUCCCGGGUCUUGUACACACCGCCCGUCACACCACGAGAGUUUGCAACACCCGAAGCCGGUGAGUAACCNACAAGGAGC